ACCAAACGUAACCUUGGGGUCUGUGGU
rnacentral:piRNA from 1 species